UGCGAUAAGUAAUGUGAAUUGCAGAAUUCCGUGAAUCAUCGAAUCUUUGAACGCACAUUGCGCCCGCCAGUAUUCUGGCGGGCAUGCCUGUUCGAGCGUCAUUUCAACCCUCAAGCCCCCGGGCUUGGUGUUGGGGCUCGGCCCGUCCCUCGUGGCGCGCCGUCCCCGAAAUCCAGUGGCGGUCACGCUGUACUCCUCUGCGUAGUAAUCCAACCUCGCAACGGGACAAAGCCUGGCCACGCCGUUAAACCCCCCACUUCUGAAGGUUGACCUCGGAUCAGGUAGGAAUACCCGCUGAACUUAAGCAUAUCAAUAA
rnacentral:rRNA from 1 species